UCAAUCCCAGUUCAUCCCAGUGACCUCCCAGUUCAUCCCAGUUCAAUCCCAGUGUGGCUACGAGGAUUACCUGCAGAGCCCGCUGCAGCCCCUGAUGGACAACCUGGAAUCCCAAACCUACGAGGUCUUCGAGAAGGAUCCCAUCAAGUACUGCCAGUACCAGCAGGCUAUUUACAAGUGUCUCCAGGACCGGGUCCCUGAAGGGGAGCGAGAGACGAACGUGG